rnacentral:rRNA from 1 species
UACGUAGGGGCUAGCGUUGUCCGGAAUCAUUGGGCGUAAAGAGCGUGUAGGCGGCCCGGUAAGUCCGCUGUAAAAGUCAAAGGCUCAACCUUUGAAUGUCAGUGGAUACUGCCGGGCUAGAGUCCGGAAGAGGCGAGUGGAACUCCUGGUGUAGCGGUGAAAUGCGUAGAUAUCUGGAGGAACACCGGAGGCGAAAGCGGUCCACUGGGCAACUUCUAACGCUGAGGUGCGAAAGCUAGGGUAGCAAACGGG